UACUCAUCCUAAUCUUCUCUUUACUACACUACUUAGUUAAGUUAUAGGAUCAGAACGAGAUUUUCUUUGAUUGCCGUUAUAGGAAGUGAGCAAGCAAGCUAGACACGAAAACUCAGGAUAGACAAAGGAAAACUCAGGAUAGACGCGCUGCUCUUCUAGCUUUGGUUGGAAAUAGAAAAGCAAGUUAUAGGGCCCAUGCGGCAUUCCCUCAAAUAGCAGUUUUUUUUU
rnacentral:lncRNA from 1 species